AUGAAGUUGAACAUCGCGAACCCCACCACGGGGUGCCAGAAGAAGGUCNNNNNNNNNNNNNNNNNNNNNNNGCGGAACCUUUAUGACAAGAGGAUCUCCCAGGAGGUAGUUGGUGAUCUUCUGGGUGAGGAAUUCAAGGGUUAUAUCUUCAAGAUCAUGGGUGGAUGUGAUAAGCAGGGCUUCCCGAUGAAGCAAGGAGUGCUAACUUCUGGGCGUGUCCGCCUUCUGCUUCACAGGGGCACGCCUUGCUUCCGUGGUUUUGGCAGGCGUAAUGGUGAGCGCAGGAGGAAAUCCGUCCGUGGUUGCAUUGUCAGCCAAGACCUAUCUGUUAUCAACUUGGUGAUUGUCAAGAAGGGUGAGAAUGAUCUGCCAGGCCUUACUGACACUGAGAAGCCCAGGAUGAGGGGACCCAAGAGGGCCUCCAAGAUCAAGAAGCUCUUCAACCUUGGCAAGGAUGAUGAUGUCCGCAGCUAUGUCAACACAUACCGCAGGACCUUCCUUAACAAGAAGGGCAAGAAGGUGAGCAAGGCUCCCAAGAUCCAGCGCCUUGUGACUCCCUUGACACUCCAGAGGAAGCGCGCCAGAAUAGCAGACAAGAAGAAGAGGAUCGCAAAGAAGAAGUCAGAGGCUGCAGAGUACCAGAAGCUGCUUGCACAGAGGCUCAAGGAGCAGAGAGACCGCCGCAGCGAGAGCAUGGCCAAGAGGAGGUCGAAGCUGUCUGCUGCCACCAAGGCUCCUGCUGCCUCUGCCUAA
rnacentral:rRNA from 1 species